rnacentral:rRNA from 1 species
CCUACGGGGAGCUGCAGUGGGGAAUCUUGCGCAAUGGGCGGAAGCCUGACGCAGCGACGCCGCGUGCGGGACGAAGGCCUUCGGGUCGUAAACCGCUUUCAGCAGGGACGAGGCCCUCACGGUGACGGUACCUGCAGAAGAAGCCCCGGCUAACUACGUGCCAGCAGCCGCGGUAAUACGCAGGGGGCGAGCGUUAUCCGGAGUAAUUGGGCGUAAAGCGCGCGUAGGCGGCCUGUUAGGUCGGGGGGAAAAGACCGGGGUUAAACCCCGGUCCGCCCCCGAUACCGGCAGGCUUGAGUCUGGGAGGGGUAGGCGGAAUUCCCAGUGUAGCGGUGGAAUGCGCAGAUAUUGGGAAGAACACCGGCGGCGAAGGCGGCCUUCUGGGCCACGACUGACGCUGAGGCGCGAAAGCUAGGGGAGCGAACAGGAUUAGAUACCCGGGUAGUC